rnacentral:ncRNA from 1 species
UCCACACCCCACGGGAGCACUCGCGUACCGAGGCUGAGAGGGCGGCAGGACCGGCCGUCGACCGUUAUCACCUGACCCGGUUAGCACCGGCGUAGGGAGGAAGACGGUGCACAUG